rnacentral:rRNA from 1 species
CGGGGAAUAUUCGGCAAUGGGCGAAAGCCUGACCGAGCGACGCCGCGUGAGCGAAGAAGGCCUUCGGGUCGUAAAGCUCUGUCUAGUGGGACGAAGAAAGUGACGGUACCACUGGAGGAAGCCACGGCUAACUACGUGCCAGCAGCCGCGGUAAUACGUAGGUGGCGAGCGUUAUCCGGAAUCAUUGGGCGUAAAGCGUUCGUAGGCGGUAUGUCAAGUCUGGUGUUAAAGCCCGAGGCUCAACCUCGGUUCGGCAUUGGAUACUGGCAAACUAGAAUGUGGUAGAGGUAAAGGGAAUUCCUGGUGUAGCGGUGAAAUGCGUAGAUAUCAGGAGGAACAUCGGUGGCGAAAGCGCUUUACUGGACCAUUAUUGACGCUGAGGAACGAAAGCCAGGGGAGCAAAUG